CAGGGAAUAUUGGUAAUCUGCGAAAGCGGGAACCAGCAACGCCGCGUGUGCGAUGAAGGCCUUCGGGUCGUAAAGCACUUUUCGAGGAGAUGAGGAAGGACAGUAUCCUCGGAAUAAGUCUCGGCUAACUACGUGCCAGCAGCCGCGGUAAAACGUAGGAGGCGAGCGUUAUCCGGAUUUACUGGGCGUAAAGCGUGUGCAGGCGGUUCGGUAAGUUGGAUGUGAAAGCUCCUGGCUCAACUAGGAGAGGUCGUUCAAUACUGCUGGACUUGAGGAUGGUAGAGGGAGGUGGAAUUCCGGGUGUAGUGGUGAAAUGCGUAGAUAUCCGGAGGAACACCAGUGGCGAAAGCGGCCUCCUGGACCAUUUCUGACGCUCAGACACGAAAGCUAGGGGAGCAAACGGG
rnacentral:rRNA from 1 species